rnacentral:lncRNA from 1 species
GUGACAAAAUGCGGAAUUCAUUUGUUGUACGCCCAAGAUUUUUCUGAUUCAACAGAAGAUUCAGUUUGGAAUUUUAGUUCUGAUGAGCAAGGGGAACUACCAUUGCAGCCGCCGCCACCACCCAAGAGGUUGAAAUACUCUGUAAGUCAAUCACCGGUGGUACCUUUUGUAAGGGGAGUCUUUUUAUAGAUCUCCUUUUGCACAGCACUCAAAAGUUUAUGACUUCUCAGAACUAAAAAUAUAUGUUGCGCCAUGGUUAAAGUUUUUGUUAUAUAUGUGCGUUGUGUUCUGUAAUUUAGGGGAACAGAAUUUAAAUGCCACAGCCUUUCGUUUUCAAUUCCUUUCUUGAGUAUGGUUUGGAUAAGCUCUUCUGAAUUUGAUCGCCAAAUACUAACGCCCGAAAUAUGUUAUUAUGAAAAAUGAGAUACUCUGUGAUAAUAUUGUCAUUUAAGGCAAAUCAUUUAUUUUAAUUUUUAAAAGUUCAUCCACUGACUUCGUGUCACAUAUGGUACGUGCAUAUCAUGAUCUGCUGGGAAGACUUUGUAUAUCUGAUACUAGUUCCAAGACAGUUCUUUCUUAACUCAUCUAUGUUUGGAAGAGGCUAGUGCAAGUGUGCAACUACAAGUUGGGUCAAAUCUUCAGAAUGACAGAACCCAAUGAAAUAAAUCAAAUGACUUUGCAUUUGCACAAUUGUUUCCUUGGAGCAUCCAAAAGAUCUUCGCAUUCACCAAACAAGGCAUUCAAUUAAGAACUCAGUUCCAAGAAAAAAGAUUCACCAAUUAUUCAUUUAUUUACAAAAGUCAUUGAUAGAGCCGAGAGGCCAAUAAAAUAGUUCCUCUUGAUUUAAAAAGAUUUCGCCAACUCAAACUAAGGCUUCGGCAUAGUGAUGGGUUAGGGAACACAAAUUUAGAGUUUCCGUGUUGAUUCAAAUAUUUCAUCUCUCAUAAAUAUGCGAAGAGAUAGGUUUCUCUGUAAAUAUUAGUGAGAGCAGAAUUUUGAUUUGGUCUCAGUAAACCUCUGAACUAAAAUAUUUGUUUAAAUUCUCAAUAAAUUUUCACCAGCUAUAUAACUUCAAAGGUAUUUUCCAUGAAUGGAAGAAAUGAAAAGAGCAUGGGGGUCUAGAUGAAACUUUAUAUGAAUUUAUGUUAAAUUUGUAAAUUUGUAAAAAUUGUGCCUUACAAUUUUAUUUCUUCAAAACGUUAUGUUGAGUUUACUUUCAACAACGAAUGAAAUCAGUUAGAGCUUGCAUGGCGUUUUGCCACUAUCGGCUCAUCAUGCUUCCCGGUGCCAAUGAUAGUGGUAAAAUUACGGGUUGUCUUCCAGAUGGCGAGUUCAUUUUUUUCUGCGUUCAACUGCUAAAGUUUUUAUUACAUGCUUAAGUUUUGAUUGAUUGAAUACAUGUGCUUAUGCUUUGUAUGAUUCUGUUUAUGAUUGUGUGAGUGAUCUUAGCUUUGAUCAAUUGAAUUAUUACUUAUUAAGAAGAAGAAAAAUUAUUCAUUCUCCAAAAAGUCAAGUCAAUGAAGCCUGAACUUGGAAUAUUUAAUUAAGCUAGUUGUUAAGACUUGUUUGGCUUUUGUUUAUGUAAAUUUCCCUUUUUUUUUCAUGUGGUCAUUCUGGAAGCAAGAUGCAUGAAUUCGGUAAUUUUUUUUUUUUGUAAUUUAAUAAUUUUAACUCAAAAGUCAACAUUGCUACCGUUCAAGGUAUCUUCUGAGAAAUGGACGAAGACUAAAGCAAUUAGAAGAAAAAAAAAAGUUAAGACGACAAGCAUGGGAGUAUUAUAUUGUUUUCUUGUAAGCUUAAAACUAAGAAAGAUAAAUGAAAUAUGUUAAGACUUCAGAUCUAUCUGCAGUCUCUGAUCAAUUUGAAACAUGAUGGCUUCCUCUUCAUUCCCUCCCACUGCUACUGUUCCUCAAGUGAAAUACGAUGUUUUUCUUAGUUUCAGAGGUGAGGAUACCCGAGACAACUUCACCAGCCAUCUUUAUGCAGCUUUGUGCCAAAAAAAGAUUGAAACUUUCAUCGAUAACCAACUUAUUAGAGGAGAGGACAUUUCCCCUUCUCUCCUGGAUGCAAUUGAAAGAUCAAAGAUUUCGGUGGUCAUUUUCUCUAAAGGGUAUGCUUCUUCCGGAUGGUGUCUUGAAGAACUUGUGAAGAUCCUGGAAUGCAAAGACAAAUAUGGACAAAUUGUUAUACCAGUUUUCUAUCAUGUUGAGCCAUCAAAUGUAAGAAACCAAACUGGGAUUUUUGGGGAUGCAUUUUCAAUGCUUGAAGAACGAUUUGUGGGAAGGGAAGACAAGCUGCGAACAUGGAGGAUUGCACUGAGGGAAGCUGCCAAUAUUUCUGGCUUUGAUUCUAAUACUGUCAGGUAAUCUCUCCUCAUGGAAUACUCUACUGUCUGCAUAAAAUAAAUAUAGCAAAGCAACUGUCCCCGUAUGGCUUUGCAUAAAAUGAAUAUGGCAAAGCAACUGUCAAAAUUGAAUAUGGCAAAGCAACCGUCAAUGUAUGCUUUUGAGACAAAAAUAUCCUUAACUUUAAUUAAUGGAUAGAAAUAAAAUCCUUGUGGAAGUGGUUGCAAAUUGAUUAAAAAAAUGUUAUCUGUGCUCAGUUUUACAGAAUGAUGUGCUUAGGAUUGCAUAUUUGAGAAUUUGGGAUAAGUUUUUGGCGCAUGGGAAAAUUCCCUUAAAACUACAUAAGCUUUUGUAAGAUCAGGAUCUACUGCCAAAUGCUACAUAAGUUACAGAAUCAAUGUAUAAAAGAAAAAAAAAUUAGUUAUAUUCUACUAAAUAAUUGUUAUUCACAUGUCUGCAGAUAGCAAAUGAUAUUAAAACAGAUGAUUUAUACAAUUCACAUGUAUCUUAAACUAUAUAUGUCAGCAGUAGGUAACUAUCUUGUGAACCUUCCAAUUGUUUUCACUUUGGAAGAUAACAUAUAUUGCAUUUUUUUUUUUCUUUUUUUUCUUUCUAUUAAUCUAUUUGAACUUCCUAUCUGCUUUCAAUAUUUCUUAAGCCUGAAUCUGUACUUAUAGAGGAACUUGUCAAAGAUGUUUUGAAGAGAUUGAAUGAUAUAUUUCCAAGUGAUUGUGAAGAUCAGCUGGUUGGAGUAGAAUCGAGCAUAAGGUUAAUUGAAUCUUUACUAAGUACUGGGUCGAAAGAAGUUUACAGUCUUGGAAUUUGGGGCAUUGGUGGUAUAGGCAAGACAACAAUUGCUAGUGCUAUUUUCAGCAAGAUCUCGACUAAUUUUGAUGGUUCUUACUUUAUUCAAAAUGUUAGAGAGGAAUCUGAAAAAUCUGGAGGACUAGUUCACUUGCGACAAACACUCCUUUCUGCAAUAUUAGAGGAUGGAAAUGUUUCAAUAGUAUGUCGGAAUAUUGGCCUCAACUUUAGAAGCAAAAGGCUUAGCCGCAAGAAGGUUCUAAUUGUUUUUGAUGAUGUAUCUACUUCUGAACAAAUGGAAUUCUUAAUUGGAGAUAAGGGUUGGUUAAUGCCAGGGAGUCGACUUGUAAUAACAGCUAGAGAUAAACAAGUUCUCAGAAAUUGUGGAGUGGAUACAAUAUACGAGGUCAAAGAAUUAUUUGAUGAGGAUGCUCGUAUGCUUUUUAGUCGACAUGCCUUUGGAAAAAACCAUCCCAAUGCAGAUUAUAUGGAGCUGUCAAACAAAAUUAUAAAGUAUGCUAAAGGAGUUCCAUUAGCUAUUAAGGUUUUGGGGCGCUUUCUAUGUGGAAGGAGAAUACAAGAUUGGGAAAGUGCAAUGAAUAAAAUGAAACGAAUCCCUCAUGUGGAUAUCCAAAAAGUGCUAAAAGUAAGUUAUGAUGGCUUGGAUGACGAGGAACAAAAUAUAUUUCUAGAUAUUGCAUGUUUCUUUAAAGGAGAAGACAAAGAUUGUGUAAUAAGAUUCUUAGAUGGCUGUGGCUUCUCAGCUGAAAUAGGAAUAAGUGUUCUUGUUGAUAAGUGUCUCAUGAUUAUAUCCAAUAACAAGAUAAUGAUGCAUGAUUUGCUACAAGAAAUGGGCAGGGAAAUUGUCUGACAAGAAUCCAUCAAAGAUCCUGGAAAGCGCAGUCGAUUGUGGCAUCAUGAGGAUAUCUACAAUAUUUUGACAAAAAAUAUGGUGAGCACCGAAGUGACUACUACUUAUGUCUAUUUCAUUUAUGCCAGAUUAGUUUAGCAUUUUGUUGGAGAAUAUUGUAUAGAAAAAUAAUAUUAAAAAUUAGAAUGGUAAUAUCGUUCAGAAAAAUGACAUUAAAAAUUAGAAUGGUAAUGUCGUAUAGAAAAAUGACAUUAAAAAUUAGAAUGGUAAAAGUAAAAAAGCCUAAGAAAUGUAAGUGGAUAGGUGAUGCAUAGAAAAGUUUGAAUGCAUAUUCUGCGCCAGUAAAUCACUUGUUUUUUAUAUCCUUAUAUGCAUUAUCAAUUCAGUUUAUGGUAGUUUAAGAUUAAUCGAAAUUAUUAUUAUUAUUAUUUUCAUUAGGGAACUGAAUCAAUUGAGGGCAUCUCUUUGGAUAUGUCUGAAGUCGAAGAUAUACACCUGAAUGCCCGCAGUUUCACAAAUAUGCACAAAUUGAGAUUUUUUAAGUUCUAUAGCUCACACUAUGGAGAGAACGUGAAUAAGGUACAUAAUUUUCGAGGUUUGGAGUCUACUGAGUUGAGGUAUCUUCAGUGGCAUGGAUGUCCAUUAAAAUCAUUGUCUUCGAAAAUUCAUCCAGAGAAUCUUGUUUCGCUUGAAAUGCCUCAUAGCAGCAUUAAACAACUAUGGAAGGGUGUCCAGGUAUACCUUAGCAUUCACAUUGCAAUUAGUCUUUUUGUGAAAUAGUUAUUGAUUUCCUAUAUGCUAAUACUUUUGCUUUGAAAUAAAUUUUUUCAGCGUCUUGUCAACUUAAAACAUUUAAAUCUCAGUCACUCAGAGCAUCUAACCAAAAUCCCAGACCUUUCAUUGGCCACAAAUCUUGAGAGCCUGAAUUUCCGAGGCUGCACAAGUUUGCUCGAGACUCACUCUUCUAUUCAAUAUCUGAAUAAGCUUAUUGUCCUAAAUCUAGAACAUUGCAGAAGUUUAACGAGUCUUUCCACAAGUAUUCAUUUGGAAUCUCUUAAAAAGCUUAUUCUUUCUGGCUGCUCAAAUCUCAUGAGUUUUCCAGAGCUAUCUUGUAAUAUAGAGGAGUUAUCUUUAGAUGGAACUGCAAUCCAAGAACUUCCCUCAUCCAUUGAGCGCCUAUCCAGUUUAAUCUUAUUGAAUCUUGGAAAUUGCUUGAGGCUUGAAGGGCUCCCAAGAAAAAUAUGUAAGUUGAAAUCUCUCGAACGCCUUAAUCUCGCAGGUUGCUCGAAUCUGCAAAGGUUACCUAACGAACUUGGAAAUUUAGAAGCCUUGAAGGAGCUGAAAGCCGAAGGAAUUGCUAUAAGAGAAGUACCUUCAUCGAUUGUUUGUUUGAAAAUUCUGGGUAGAUUAUCCUUCGAGAGCUUCAAGGGUCAUGAGCAGAUGGGGCUCUUGUUGCCUAUUUCAUUUGGCUUGACCAGUCAAACAUAUCUAAAACUAGCUGAUUGCGGCAUCACAGAGUUACCUGAAUGUCUUGGCCAGUUGUUAUCACUAAGAAUUUUAUUUCUAGACAAAAACAAUUUUGAGAGAAUACCAGAAAGCAUCAUUUACCUGUUUCACUUGUAUUGGCUGAGGAUAAGCUAUUGUGAGAGGCUUAAAUCUUUACCAGAGCUUCCAUGUGAUCUAUGUGACAUUGAAGCCCAUGGUUGCUCAUCACUGGAAGCGUUAUCAGGUCUAUCAAUUCUCUUCACACAAACAUCUUGGAAUUCACAGUGUUUUAAUUUUGUUAAUUGUUUGAGAUUGGAUGAGAAUGAGCUCAAAGAAAUUAUCAAAGAUGCUCAACGGAAAAUGCAGCUUGAAGCAACUACAUGGUGGGAAGAACUUGAAAAGGUAUCUCUCUAACUCUCUUUUUGAAAGAUGUUAAUUUUUUUGGCCCCUAAGGAAAGGAAUGGGAUGUUAAAGUUAACAAUGUUAAUAAUAUUGAUUUUGUUUGGUACAGCAACAUUGUGAGAUGCCGAGGGGUAUGAUCUGUUUCCCUGGAAGUGAACUUCCGGAAUGGUUUAUGUUUCAAAGCAUGGGAUCUCUUGCAACCUUCAAGUUACCACCGGAUUGGUUUAGUUAUAACUUUGUUGGCUUUGCUCUAUGUGCUGUUGUUGAAUUUCGAGACCAUCAUGAUGGUGGUUGGGGUUUUGAUGUUUGCUGUGAAUGCAAACUCAAAACUGAAGAUGGUCUCUUUCGGGUUGCUGAGGGCCGCAUGACUGGUUGGUUUGAUGGUUAUCCUGGUCCUCGUUACAUUGGGUCGGAUCACGUUUUCUUGGGUUUCGAUUUCUAUAUGUUUUCAGAUGGUUUUGAUGAAUAUUAUUACAGUGAUGAAGUUUUUAUCCAAUUCUAUCUCGAGGAUCGGAGGUGUGUAGAUUGUUGGGUGGUGACAAAAUGCGGGAUUCAUUUGUUGUACGCCCAAGAUUUUGCUGAUUCAACAGAAGAUUCAGUUUGGAAUUUUAGCUCUGAUGAGGAAGAGGAACUACCAUUGCUGCUGCCGCCACCACCCAAGAGAUUGAAGUACUCUGUAAGUCAAUCACCGCUGGUACCUUUUGUAAGCGGAAGCUUUUUAUAGAUCUCCUUUUGCACAGCACUCAAAAGUUUAU